rnacentral:rRNA from 1 species
UCCCAUAGCGGAGGAAAAGAAACCAACCGGGGAUGCCUUAGUAACGGCGAGUGAAGCGGCAAAAGCUCAAAUUUGAAAUCUGGUACCUUCGGUGCCCGAGUUGUAAUUUGGAGAGGGCAACUUUGGGGCCGUUCCUUGUCUAUGUUCCUUGGAACAGGACGUCAUAGAGGGUGAGAAUCCCGUGUGGCGAGGAGUGCGGUUCUUUGUAAAGUGCCUUCGAAGAGUCGAGUUGUUUGGGAAUGCAGCUCUAAGUGGGUGGUAAAUUCCAUCUAAAGCUAAAUAUUGGCGAGAGACCGAUAGCGAACAAGUACAGUGAUGGAAAGAUGAAAAGAACUUUGAAAAGAGAGUGAAAAAGUACGUGAAAUUGUUGAAAGGGAAGGGCAUUUGAUCAGACAUGGUGUUUUGUGCCCUCUGCUCCUUGUGGGUAGGGGAAUCUCGCAUUUCACUGGGCCAGCAUCAGUUUUGGUGGCAGGAUAAAUCCAUAGGAAUGUAGCUUGCCUCGGUAAGUAUUAUAGCCUGUGGGAAUACUGCCAGCUGGGACUGAGGACUGCGACGUAAGUCAAGGAUGCUGGCAUAAUGGUUAUAUGCCGCCCGUCUGAAAA